UAAUUUUCCAAAGAGAAUGGGUGUCAUAUAAUGAAUAUACAAUAACUACUACACUAAAUUUUUGUUCACUUUAUUUAAGCAUAUCUAAUUAGGAGUAAUACGUAUGUAUAUUUAACUACUCUAACAUAGUGUCAUCUAUGAGAUUUAUUUCAAUUUGUCUAACACAAAUUAGUUUCAUGGGGGGCGCCAUUUGCGCAUGGGCGAGACAAGCUCAGACACCGUGCUCACAGUGUGACCGCUAUUUUCUCAUGCUGUCUCUAAGGGACUGAUGCGGCUGAUGGUCUUGCUGUUGGAUAUUCAUUGUUGGAGGUGGCCGGCGAGGCAGUGGAGGGACCCCUGAAGAUGCCUGCACUGUAAUUCCUCCAGGAAGAGUCAUCAUGGGAGGAAUUGCAUUGGGCUGAAAGGGGUUGGACACAGUGCCAGAUUGGGGCCAGGCACUCAUGGCUGCUGUGGUUGCUUGUUUUCCCCAAGCUUGAGUGGCAGCUGGAGUGGCAAAAGAGGGCAUCUGCUGUCCCCACUGAGG